GUUCUCCAUGUACUACUACCAAGUAGUGAAGUACGGUGACAUCAAAUUCAGCCGGGCUUUUCAGAUGACUAAUGUGUCUCUUUUGUUUUCUUGCCAAAGACACAAACACAUUUGUAUGCCUUUUCCGCUUCUUGAGAACCCAACUCUUUCCACUUGCUCGUAAUGGUGUGUAUGCGUAGGCAAGGCGUUACGCUAAUAGCAAUGAAUGGCUUUAAUUUGAAUAUAUUGGGCAAGUAUUUGCUCUUGUGCUUGCGUCAUGGCACCACCCUUGGCAGCCAAACUGAGAGGCGACAUGGUUUUAUCCCGAACAAUCGGACAUUGCUCGAAUGCUCUGCUUCGGACUGACUUGUAUCCUCUUCGUUCUGCAGCGUUCAAAGCCCCCUUCAAUCAAAAAGUAGAGUUUCACGGAACCUUACCAAGAAAACCAGGUGGAAACGACGAGCUGACGUGACCUACAACAGGUCCGAGCGGACGGUCAGCAGUAAACUAGCUGGUCGGAGCGAUGACGUCACGAUGACGGAGGGCGAGGAAAUGGCAAGAUGUUGGCAUAGCUGUUUGGAGUUCUGGGUCGGCUGUGCUGACAAACUGCCAUUUCCCGUUCACUCCUAUUACAACUAGCUUCCACGUGGCGUAAGGGGCUUCAUACAGAAAUACCGUGUGAUUAGAAUUUCAACACUUGUGAGCAAAGGAACUCCUCUGUCGUACAAACAUGUUCGUAGAACAUUGCAUGGCCAGUGUGACGAACUUAAAAUAAACAGUAACCCGAAAUGUACUUUUUACCUCCGACUUUUCCAAUGACAAAUGUUGCAUGCUGAUGGACAAACUGGCGGAAAUUCAAAUGCAUUUGUCCCUGACAUCGUGAAGCAACUGAUCCUCGUAUUGGCCUUUAAGUUUGUUAAUGUUGUUUUCUAGAAAAUGAAAGAUUUCGAUGUUACGACCCCAUCUGUUAUCAGCCAAAAAGAUAUUUCAUAGUCCAUUGCAUACGUUUUUGAUCUCUACAAAAAAUCAAUAAAAGCACCAUAACUAAGCUGCUUUGCUGUUUCAGUUUGUGAACAGCCAAAACAUUCUUGGCUGCAACAAAACUCGUUUUUCUUGUACGGACGACUCGGUGUAUAGGCAUUACAUGUGUACUCAAUUCAAAACAGCCGCUGGAAGGCUGGUGCCGCUUUUAAAUCCUUUGUGGUUGUUGACUGGAGCUUGAUCAAUACUCUCCGAGGACAACAAGAAAGGCGGCUGGUUUAGUAAAGAGCGUCACGGGUUAGCCGUUAGCAGAGGGUCAUUGAUAUUACAAGAUUGAGCAGUGGUGAGUAGUGCUAUGGUCAUUCGUGGCUUGGCCUACGUAUCUACAUGUAGUAUAGGCUCUCUCCACGGUCGAGGUAAUCGCCUCGGUAGGAUUUUCACGCGGUAAGACUUUGCCCAGUGGGAGUUUAAUUGGACGGAUUCCAGGUUAGGAGGUGGUUGGCUGAUCAGGUUCAUAUACAGAUAGCUCCGUUUCAAGGGAACUGAAAUUUAGUAUUAUUCAUCAGAUGUGGGGAAUUUCAAAGGGAAGCAGAGAUCUUACUUAAAAUAGUAUAGCUUGCAGAAUGAAGAUCGAACAUUUUAUUGUCAUUGACUUCCGACUUACUAGAAUAAAUUUGCUUCUUCCUGAUCUGAUUGAUGGCAACACAACAGGAGCCCUGUGUGCUGUGACUGGGACACGAGUAACCACCACAGUGGACCGUAUUGACUCGAAUUAAACUAUUUUACAAAAAUGCAGUUUUUGGUAAAAUCCAUCAAAAGAAUGCAUCCCUAGAAAUAUGGGGACAGUCCAUCUGUUGUGCCCAUUCUUAACUCUGUACAUACAUACCUACCUUGUCAAAAUAUUAGGCACAUAAAGACACAAGAAGAACAACAGACAACAUCAAUACCAACACACAUGUCAUAGACUAGAUUGUAGACGAACUUAAAUAUUAAAGUGAAGAGAAGAUGAAGAGUUUCAGUCUGAAUGCUUGUUUUUAUUUAAUAGAUAUACAUCCACGUGUUCAACAAAUUUGGAGCUUGGGGUUCAUCAGGACAUUGCUCUUAUAGGUUACAUGUAACAUAACACUAUAGAAAUACAUUGUAUCUACAAGAUAUCAUGUUUAUCAUAUUAUCAAGCAACCACACUUCCAUGAGAGAGUAAUGACCUCAUUUCCCAUUUCUUGGCAGCAGCUAUCUACAUGAAAUCAUACAUCUACACACAUUCAAACUGCCAUAAUAUUGAGCACGCUUUCUCUACCUCUCAUAGAAUUCUUCUUGGAAAACCAUUUUUACAUAAUCUUAAGCCCUCUGUUGUGCAAACACAAAGAUCAAGAUGGGAUAUAAUUAUAUCACAAGAAUCAAUAAAAACUUCUCAUUUC